rfam:Felis catus isolate Cinnamon breed Abyssinian chromosome C2, whole genome shotgun sequence.
AAAAAGGCUUUACUCAUAUUUGUAGACUUAUGCAAAGCUACCUUCUUUUACAUAAAAUUAUUAU